rnacentral:rRNA from 1 species
UAAGGAAUAUUGCGCAAUGGACGAAAGUCUGACGCAGCGACGCCGCGUGGGGGAUGAAGGUCUUCGGAUUGUAAACCCCUUUCGGGAGGGAAGAUGGAGUGGGUAACCACUUGGACGGUACCUCCAGAAGCAGCCACGGCUAACUUCGUGCCAGCAGCCGCGGUAAUACGAAGGUGGCAAGCGUUGUUCGGAUUCACUGGGCGUACAGGGAGCGUAGGCGGUUGGGUAAGCCCUCCGUGAAAUCUCCGGGCCUAACCCCGGAAAGUGCAGAGGGGACUGCUCAGCUAGAGGAUGGGAGAGGAGCGCGGAAUUCCCGGUGUAGCGGUGAAAUGCGUAGAGAUCGGGAGGAAGGCCGGUGGCGAAGGCGGCGCUCUGGAACAUUUCUGACGCUGAGGCUCGAAAGCGUGGGGAGCAAACAGGAUUAGAUACCCAGUAGUCCCUGAGCGGGCUGG